UACGUAGGGUGCAAGCGUUAAUCGGAAUUACUGGGCGUAAAGCGUGCGCAGGCGGUGAUGUAAGACAGAUGUGAAAUCCCCGGGCUCAACCUGGGAAUUGCAUCUGUGACUGCAUAGCUAGAGUACGGUAGAGGGGGAUGGAAUUCCGCGUGUAGCAGUGAAAUGCGUAGAUAUGCGGAGGAACACCGAUGGCGAAGGCAAUCCCCUGGACCUGUACUGACGCUCAUGCACGAAAGCGUGGGGAGCAAACAGG
rnacentral:rRNA from 1 species